rnacentral:rRNA from 1 species
CCUACGGGUGGCAGCAGUAGGGAAUCUUCCACAAUGGGCGAAAGCCUGAUGGAGCAACGCCGCGUGGGUGAAGAAGGUCUUCGGAUCGUAAAACCCUGUUGUUAGAGAAGAAAGUGCGGGAGAGUAACUGUUCACGUUUCGACGGUAUCUAACCAGAAAGCGACGGCAAACUACGUGCCAGCAGCCGCGGUAAUACGUAGGUGGCAAGCGUUAUCCGGAUUGAUUGGGCGUAAAGGGAACGCAGGCGUGAUUUUAAGUCUGAUGUGAAAGCCUUCGGCUUAACCAGAGUAGUGCAUUGGAAACUGGGAGACUUGAGUGCAGAAGAGGAGAGUGGAACUCCAUGUGUAGCGGUGAAAUGCGUAGAGAUAUGGAAGAACACUAGUGGCGAAGGCGACUCUCUGGUCUGUAACUGACGCUGAGGUUCGAAAGCGUGGGUAGCAAACAGGAUUAGAUACCCCUGUAGUC